rnacentral:lncRNA from 1 species
GCCUUGUCAGGAUGAAGUUCCAUCUGUCGAGCAAUCCAUGGCCCAUCAAAAUGUGCAUACCACCAACCCUUCUUCUUGUUCUGGGGAUCUUUGUAUUGGUCCAUGGGACGGAUGAAGGGAAUGCGGAAGUAACGCUGUUGUCUAUUUAUUUCAAUCUCCUGCUGCCUCAUUGGUAGCUGAGCUGUUGGGUUCUGUUGAGCAUAGUCUGUGACUGAUUUGGGAGCACGCUGUUCUGUUUCUGCAUUGCGUUUCUUGUUCUUGGAUUUCCA